rnacentral:rRNA from 1 species
AUUGAACGCUGGCGGCAUGCCUUACACAUGCAAGUCGAACGGCAGCAUGAUCUAGCUUGCUAGAUUGAUGGCGAGUGGCGAACGGGUGAGUAAUACAUCGGAACGUGCCCUGUAGUGGGGGAUAACUAGUCGAAAGAUUAGCUAAUACCGCAUACGACCUGAGGGUGAAAGUGGGGGACCGCAAGGCCUCAUGCUAUAGGAGCGGCCGAUGUCUGAUUAGCUAGUUGGUGGGGUAAAGGCCCACCAAGGCGACGAUCAGUAGCUGGUCUGAGAGGACGAUCAGCCACACUGGGACUGAGACACGGCCCAGACUCCUACGGGAGGCAGCAGUGGGGAAUUUUGGACAAUGGGGGCAACCCUGAUCCAGCAAUGCCGCGUGGGUGAAGAAGGCCUUCGGGUUGUAAAGCACUUUUGUCCGGAAAGAAAUCGCACUUACUAAUAUUAGGUGUGGAUGACGGUACCGGAAGAAUAAGGACCGGCUAACUACGU